rnacentral:rRNA from 1 species
CCUACGGGAGGCAGCAGCAAGGAAUUUUCCGCAAUCGACGCAAGUCGGACGGAGCAACGCCGCGUGCGGGAAGAAGGCCCUCGGGUUGUAAACCGCUUUUGUGAGGGAAGAAGAUCUGACGGUACCUCAAGAAUAAGUCACGGCUAACUACGUGC